rnacentral:SRP_RNA from 1 species
AAGCCUCUGCGAACCUCGUCGGGCGAAGGAAGCAGCAUUGCUCGG